rnacentral:rRNA from 1 species
CGAAAGGGGCGGUAAUACCAGAUAAUGUCCUUCGGGACCAAAGAUUUAUCGGCAUUGGAGCGGCCUAUCUCCUAUCAGCUUGUUGGUGAGGUAACGGCUCACCAAGGCAACGACGGGUAGCGGGACUGAGAGGUUGGCCCGCCACAUCGGGACUGAGACACUGCCCAGACCUCCACGGAGGGCUGCAGUAACGGAUAUUGGGCAAUGGGCGAAAGCCUGACCCAGCAAUGCCGCGUGCAGGAUGAAGCCCCUAGGGGUGUAAACUGCUGUCAGGGGUCAGAAAGCUGGUUUCGGCCAGUUGAUCAACCCCAGAGGAAGUCACGGCUAACUUCGUGCCAGCAGCCGCGGUAAUACGAAGGUGGCAAGCGUUAUUCGGAAUCAUUGGGCUUAAAGGGCACGCAGGCGGAACAGUGUGUGUUGUGUGAAAUCCCCCGGCUUAACCGGGGAAUUGCACAGCAAACUGCUGUUCUUGAGGCAGGUAGGGGUGCAUGGAACUCUUGGUGGAGCGGUGGAAUGCGUAGAUAUCAAGAGGAACGCCAGAGGUGAAGACGGUGCACUGGGCCUGUCCUGACGCUGAGGUGCGAAAGCGUGGGGAGCGAACGGGAUUAGAUACCCCGGUAGUCCACGCCGUAAACGAUGUCUACUAGGUCGUGGGUGUUCUGACACAUUCACGGCCGGAGCAAAAGUGUUUAGUAGACCGCCUGGGGAGUACGGCCGCAAGGUUAAAACUCAAAUGAAUUGACGGGGGCUCACACAAGCGGUGGAGCAUGUGGAUUAAUUCGAAGCAACGCGCAGAACCUUACCUGGGUUUGACAUGCUUGUAUGCCUUCUCUGAAAGGAGUUAGGCUGCCUUCGGGUGAAACUUGCACAGGUGCUGCAUGGCUGUCGUCAGCUCGUGUCGUGAGAUGUCGGGUUAAGUCCUUUAACGAGCGAAACCCUUGCCGUUAGUUGCCAGCGAGUAAUGUCGGGGACUCUAACGGGACUGCUGGUGUUAAACCGGCGCAAGGUGGGGAUGACGUCAAGUCCUCAUGGCCUUUAUGCCCAGGGCUUCACACGUGCUACAAUGGCAAUUACAGAGCGACGCGAUACCGCGAGGUGGAGCAAAUCGCAAAAAAAUUGCCUCAGUUCG